AUUCCUACGGGAGGCAGCAGUGAGGAAUAUUGGUCAAUGGCCGGGAGGCUGAACCAGCCAAGUCGCGUGAGGGAAGACGGCCCUACGGGUUGUAAACCUCUUUUGUCAGGGAGCAAGGUGCAGGUCGGGACCUGCUGCGAGAGUACCUGAAGAAAAAGCAUCGGCUAACUCCGUGCCAGCAGCCGCGGUAAUACGGAGGAUGCGAGCGUUAUCCGGAUUUAUUGGGUUUAAAGGGGGCGCAGGCGGAGGAACAAGAC
rnacentral:rRNA from 1 species